rnacentral:rRNA from 1 species
GAUGAACGCUAGCGGCAGGCUUAAUACAUGCAAGUCGAGGGGCAUCAAGGUACACGAAAGUGUAUUGUUGGCGACCGGCGGACGGGUGAGUAAUAGGUAGGUAACCUACCUCAUACUGAGGCAUAGCUGGGAGAAAUUCCAGGUAAUUCCUCAUGAGGUUAUAUGACACAUGUGAUAUAAUCAAAGGUAUCGCAAGGUACUGGUAUGAGAUGGGCUUACUGACCAUUAGCUAGUUGGUGAGAUAAGAGCUCACCAAGGCGAAGAUGGUUAGGGGUUUUGAGAGAGAGAUCCCCCACAUUGGAACUGAGAUACGGUCCAGACUCCUACGGGAGGCAGCAGUAGGGAAUAUUGGGCAAUGGGCGGAAGCCUGACCCAGCCAUGCCGCGUGAAGGAAGACGGCCUUAUGGGUUGUAAACUUCUUUUACUAUGCGACUAACUAGAUUUACGAGAUAAUUCUAUAGAAUGUAGCAUAGCAAAAAGCACCGG